rnacentral:rRNA from 1 species
AACGUAGGUGGCGAGCGUUAUCCGGAUUUACUGGGCGUAAAGGGCGGGCAGGCGGUCUGUCAAGUGGGGUGUGAAAGCUCUCAGCUUAACUGGGAGAGGCCAUUCCAGACUGACAGACUGGAGGGCAGUAGAGGUAGGCGGAAUUCCGGGUGGAGUGGUGAAAUGCGUAGAUAUCUGGAGGAACACCGGUGGCGAAGGCGGCGUCCUGGACCAACACUGACACUGAGGAGCGAAAGCCAGGGGAGCAAACGGG